rnacentral:rRNA from 1 species
AUACGGAGGGUGCAAGCGUUGUUCGGAACCACUGGGCGUAAAUGGCGCGCAGGCGGUUUGGUAAGUCAGAUGUGAAAGCCCAUGGCUCAACCAUGGAAGUGCAUUUGAAACUGUCAGACUUGAGUACUAGAGGGGAAAGUGGAAUUCCCGAUGUAGAGGUGAAAUUCGUAGAUAUCGGGAGGAAUACCGGUGGCGAAGGCGACUUUCUGGCUAGAUACUGACGCUGAGGCGCGAAAGCGUGGGGAGCAAACAGGAUUAGAAACCCGGGUAGUCC